AAUUUUCAAGUCUACUUGUAUUUAGCCAUUCCAUUCCCUGCACAUAUGAUUCAGCCUCCCAUACUUUCUUGCACUGAUUUGUUGUCUACUGUGAUGAGGAUCGUACACCAAUCAUGAGAUUGACAAUAAAGAAAUGUUGUAAUGAAAAAGCUAGCACAAAUUACUUGUAUUUAUUAAUGUUGUAAUGAAAAUAAGCUAAUGUUAAACUAAAA
rnacentral:misc_RNA from 1 species